rnacentral:rRNA from 1 species
GAUGAACGCUGGCGGCGUGCCUAAUACAUGCAAGUCGAGCGAACGGACGAGAAGCUUGCUUCUCUGAUGUUAGCGGCGGACGGGUGAGUAAUACGUGGAUAACCUACCUAUAAGACUGGGAUAACUUCGGGAAACCGUAGCUAAUACCGGAUAAUAUUUUGAACCGCAUGGUUCAAAAGUGAAAGACGGUCUUGCUGUCACUUAUAGAUGGAUACGCGCUGCAUUAGCUAGUUGGUAAGGUAACGGCUUACCAAGGCAACGAUGCAUAGCCGACCUGAGAGGGUGAUCGGCCACACUGGAACUGAGACACGGUCCAGACUCCUACGGGAGGCAGCAGUAGGGAAUCUUCCGCAAUGGGCGAAAGCCCGACGGAGCAACGCCGCGUGAGUGAUGAAGGUCUUCGGAUCGUAAAACUCUGUUAUUAGGGAAGAACAUAUGUGUAAGUAACUGUGCACAUCUUGACGGUACCUAAUCAGAAAGCCACGGCUAACUACGUG